rfam:Mus musculus chromosome X, GRC primary reference assembly.
AGGGCGUUCUCAGAGCAAAGGGAUUAAAAAUCAACUUCUCUGUUUACAACAUGUCCAACAGAAAUCUGGAGCACAUUUCUGGUUUUGCUUUGACCCAAUAUUCUAAACAGAU